GAAAGUUAGAGGUUCGAAAAGGAUCAGAUAACGCCCUAGUUCUAAUCGUAAACGAUCCCAACUAAUAUUAUAACACUCUCGAUCAUUUCCCGGGAAACCCAAGGA
rnacentral:rRNA from 1 species